rnacentral:rRNA from 1 species
GACGAACGCUGGCGGCGUGCUUAACACAUGCAAGUCGAACGGAAAGGCCCUGCUUGCAGGGUACUCGAGUUGCGAACGGGUGAGUAACACGCGGGUGAUCUGCCCUGCACUUCGGGAUAAGCCUGGGAAACUGGGUCUAAUACCGGCUAGGAGCCAUUUUUAGUGUGAUGGUUGGAAAGUUUUUUCGGUGUAGGGUGAGCUCGCGGCCUAUCAGCUUGUUGGUGGGGUAAUGUCCUACCAAGGCGGCUUCGGGUAGCCGGCCUGAGAGGGUGGACGGCCACAUUGGGACUGAGAUGCGGCCCAGGCUCCUACGGGAGGCAGCAGUGGGGAAUAUUGCACAAUGGGCGCAAGCCUGAUGCAGCGACGCCGCGUGGGGGAUGACGGCCUUCGGGUUGUAAACUCCUUUCGCUAGGGACGAAGCUUUUUGUGACGGUACCUAGAUAAGAAGCACCGGCUAACUACGUG